rfam:Schistosoma rodhaini strain Burundi genome assembly, scaffold: SROB_scaffold0003027
AUCCAGAUGACGAGUCCAAAAUAGAACGAAACGAGCAUCCAACUGGAU